rnacentral:rRNA from 1 species
GCUCAGAAUGAACGCUGGCGGCAUGCCUAACACAUGCAAGUCGAACGAACCCUUCGGGGUUAGUGGCGCACGGGUGCGUAACGCGUGGGAAUCUGCCCCUUGGUUCGGAAUAACAGUUAGAAAUGACUGCUAAUACCGGAUAACGACGUAAGUCCAAAGAUUUAUCGCCGAGGGAUGAGCCCGCGUAGGAUUAGCUAGUUGGUGUGGUAAAGGCGCACCAAGGCGACGAUCCUUAGCUGGUCUGAGAGGAUGAUCAGCCACACUGGGACUGAGACACGGCCCAGACUCCUACGGGAGGCAGCAGUGGGGAAUAUUGGACAAUGGGCGAAAGCCUGAUCCAGCAAUGCCGCGUGAGUGAUGAAGGCCUUAGGGUUGUAAAGCUCUUUUACCCGGGAUGAUAAUGAC